rnacentral:rRNA from 1 species
CCAGACUCCUACGGGAGGCAGCAGUGGGGAAUAUUGCACAAUGGGGGAAACCCUGAUGCAGCGACGCCGCGUGAAGGAAGAAGUAUUUCGGUAUGUAAACUUCUAUCAGCAGGGAAGAAAAUGACGGUACCUGAGUAAGAAGCCCCGGCUAACUACGUGCCAGCAGCCGCGGUAAUACGUAGGGGGCAAGCGUUAUCCGGAUUUACUGGGUGUAAAGGGAGCGUAGACGGCAGUGCAAGUCUGGAGUGAAAGGCGGGGGCUCAACCCCCGGACUGCUCUGGAAACUGUACGGCUGGAGUGCAGGAGAGGUAAGUGGAAUUCCUAGUGUAGCGGUGAAAUGCGUAGAUAUCAGGAGGAACACCGGUGGCGAAGGCGGCCUGCUGGACUGCAACUGACGUUGAGGCCCGAAAGCGUGGGGAGCAAACAGGAUUAGAUACCCCCGUA